UUACGGUCAUAUCUCGUAGAAACACCGGUUCCCGUACGAUCAACGAAGUUAAGCAACAUCAAGCCGGGUCAGUAUCUAGGUGGGUGACCGGUUGGGAAUACCAGGUGUUGUAAG